GUUGUUUUGGCAGCACAUUUACUAAAAAAAAUUGGAACGAUACAGAGAAGAUUAGCAUGGCCCCUGCGUAAGGAUGAAUGCAAAUUUGUGAAACAUUCCAUAAAAAA